GGCAAUCCCCUAAUGUUCCCUUCCACCUUGUGGAAGUUUUGUUCUUUCGCUCUUUGCAAUAAAUCCCAUUGUUGCUCGCUCUUUGGGGUCUCACUGUCUGUGCGAGCUGUAAUACUCGCCGCAAAGGUGUCUGGCUUCACUUCCGAGACCAGCGAGACCCCGAACCCACCGGGAGGAAUGAACAACUCCGGAUGGGAGGGACAAACAACACCAGACGCACCGCCUUAAGAGUCCUAACGCUCACCGCGGAGGUCUGCGGCUUCACUCUUGAAUGAAGCCAGCGAGAUCACAAACCCACCAGAAGGAAGGAACUCUGAACACAUCCGAAAAUCAGAAGGAACAAACUCCGGACACACUACCUUUAAGAACUGUAACACUCAAAUCGCGAGGGUCCACGGCUUCGUUCUUGAAGUCAGUGAGACCAAGAACCCACAAAUUCCGGACACUUCCCCACACAGAGGGAACUGGCCUAACACUCUGGUGGUGCCAAUAGGAUGUACUGACAGAUCAGAAGUGGUCGUGAGAGAAGGAGCAAGUAGCCAGAAGAGUGAAGUGUGCACUGGCUGAGAUGUGGGAGCAGGUGUUGUUGGUUUCCCCGGACAAGAAGGCCCUCGCCAGAUAUCAAGGCCUUAAGCUUGGACUUCCCAGCCUCCAGAACUGGGGGAAGAGCCAAGAUGUCUGAAUAGAAACAGCUCCGGUCUACAGCUCCCAGCGUGAGCAAUGCAGAAGACAGGUGAUUUCUGCAUUUCCAUCUGAGGUACCGGGUUCAUCUCACUAGGGAGUGCCAGACAGUGGGCGCAGGUCAGGGGGUGCUCGCACCGUGUGCCAGCCGAAGCAGGGCGAGGCAUUGCCUCACUCGGGAAGCGCAAGGGAUCAGGGAGUUCCCUUUCCUAGUCAAAGAAAGGGGUGACAGACGGCACCUGGAAAAUCGGGUCACUCCCACCCGAAUACUGCGCUUUUCCGAUGGGCUUAAAAAACGGCACACCAGGAGAUUAUAUCCCGCACCUGGAUCGGAGGGUCCUACGCCCACGGAGUCUCGCUGAUUGCUAGCACAGCAGUCUGAGAUCAAACAGCAAAGCGGCAGUGAGGCUGGGAGAGGGGCGCCCGCCAUUGCCCAGGCUUGCUUAGGUAAACAAAGCAGCCGGGAAGCUCGAACUGGGUGGAGCCCACCACAGCUCAAGGAGGCCUGCCUGCCUCUGUAGGCUCCACCUCUGGGGGCAGGGCACAGACAAACAAAAAGACAGCAGUAAUCUCUGCAGACUUAAAUGUCCCUGUCUGACAGCUUUGAAGAGAGCAGUGGUUCUCCCAGCACGCAGCUGGAGAUCUGAGAACGGGCAGACUGCCUCCUCAAGUGGGUCCCUGACCCCUGAACCCCGAGCAGCCUAACUGGGAGGCACCCCCCAAGCAGGGGCAGACUGACAUCUCACAUGGCCGGGUACUCCAACAGACCUGCAGCUGAGGGUCCUGUCUGUUAGAAGGAAAACUAACAAACAGAAAGGACAUCCACACCAAAAACCCAUCUGUACAUCACCAUCAUCAAAGACCAAAAGUAGAUAAAACCACAAAGAUUGGGAAAAAACAGAGCAGAAAAACUGGAAACUCUAAAAGGCAGAGCACCUCUCCUCCUCCAAAGGAACGCAGUUCCUCACCAGCAACAGAACAAAGCUGGACGGAGAAUGACUUUGACGAGCUGAGAGAAGAAGGCUUCAGAUGAUCAAAUUACUCUGACCUACGGGAGGACAUUCAAACCAAGGGCAAAGAAGUUGAAAACUUUGAAAAAAAUUUAGAAGAAUGUAUAACUAGAAUAACCAAUACAGAGAAGUGCUUAAAGGAGCUGAUGGAGCUGAAAACCAAGGCUUGAGAACUACAUAAAGAAUGCAGAAGCCUCAGGAGCUGAUGCGAUCAACUGGAAGAAAGGGUAUCAGCGAUGGAAGAUGAAAUGAAUGAAAUGAAGCGAGAAGGGAAGUUUAGAGAAAAAAAUAAAAAGAAACGAGCAAAGCCUCCCAAGAAAUAUGGGACGAUGUGAAAAGACCAAAUCUAUGUCUGACUGGUGUACCUGAAAGUGACGGGGAGAAUGGAACCAAGUUGGAAAACACUCUGCAGGAUAUUAUCCAGGGGAACUUCCCCAAUCCAGCAAGGCAGGCCAACAUUCAGAUUCAGGAAAUACAGAGAACGCCACAAAGAUACUCCUUGAGAAGAGCAACUCCAAGACACAUAAUUGUCAGAUUCACCGAAGUUGAAAUGAAGGAAAAAAUGUUAAGGGCAGCCAGAGAGAAAGGUCAUGUUACCCUCAAAGGGAAGCCCAUCAGACUAACAGCGGAUAUCUCGGCAGAAACUCUACAAACCAGAAGAGAGUGGGGGCCAAUAUUCAACAUUCUUAAAGAAAAGAAUUUUCCACCCCGAAUUUCAUAUCCAGCCAAACUAAGCUUCAUAAGUGAAGGAGAAAUAAACUACUUUACAGACAAGCAAAUGCUGAGAGAUUUUGUCACCACCAGGCCUGCCCUAAAAGAGCUCCUGAAGGAAGUGCUAAACAUGGAAAGGAACAACUGGUACCAGCCACUGCAAAAUCAUGCCAAAAUGUAAAGACCAUUGAGACUAGGAAGAAACUGCAUCAACUAACGAGCAAAAUAACCAGCUAACAUCAUCAUGACAGGAUCAAAUUCACACAUAACAAUAUUAACUUUAAAUGUAAAUGGACUAAAUGCUCCAAUUAAAAGAC
rnacentral:lncRNA from 1 species